UACGAGAGCUCCAAGCGUUAUCCGGAAUUAUUGGGCGUAAAGGGUGCGUAGGUGGCAUUGUUAGUCUUUCGUUAAAUAUCCGGGCUUAACCCGGAAACUGCGAGGGAAACGGCAAAGCUAGAGAGUGUGAGGGGUAUAUGGAACUCAAGGUGUAGGGGUGAAAUCCGUUGAUAUCUUGGGGAACACCAAAAGCGAAGGCAAUAUACUGGCACACAUCUGACACUCAAGCACGAAAGCGUGGGUAGCGAAU
rnacentral:rRNA from 1 species